AACACGUGGGCAACCUGCCUGUAAGACCGGGAUAACACCGGGAAACUGGUGCUAAUACCGGGCGAGCCGUAGAUGGGGCAUCCUGUUUACGGGGAAGGGGAGACCCGCUUACAGAUGGGCCCGCGUUCCAUUAGCUAGUUGGUGAGGUAACGGCCCACCAAGGCGACGAUGGAUAGCCGGCCUGAGAGGGUGGUCGGCCACACUGGGACUGAGACACGGCCCAGACUCCUACGGGAGGCAGCAGUGGGGAAUCUUGCGCAAUGGGCGGAAGCCUGACGCAGCAACGCCGCGUGAGUGAAGAAGGCCUUCGGGUUGUAAAGCUCUGUUGUGAGGGACGAAGGGAGUGACGGUACCUCACGAGGAAGCCCCGGCUAACUACGUGCCAGCAGCCGCGGUAAUACGUAGGGGGCGAGCGUUGUCCGGAAUCAUUGGGCGUAAAGAGCUCGUAGG
rnacentral:rRNA from 1 species